rnacentral:rRNA from 1 species
AUUGAACGCUGGCGGAAUGCUUUACACAUGCAAGUCGAACGGCAGCACGGGGGCAACCCUGGUGGCGAGUGGCGAACGGGUGAGUAAUACAUCGGAACGUGCCCAAUCGUGGGGGAUAACGUAGCGAAAGCUACGCUAAUACCGCAUACGAUCUACGGAUGAAAGCGGGGGAUCGCAAGACCUCGCGCGAAUGGAGCGGCCGAUGGCAGAUUAGGUAGUUGGUGGGGUAAAGGCUCACCAAGCCGACGAUCUGUAGCUGGUCUGAGAGGACGACCAGCCACACUGGGACUGAGACACGGCCCAGACUCCUACGGGAGGCAGCAGUGGGGAAUUUUGGACAAUGGGCGCAAGCCUGAUCCAGCCAUGCCGCGUGCAGGAUGAAGGCCUUCGGUUGUAAACUGCUUUGUACGACGAAAGACUCUUCUAUAAAGAGGUCCAUGACGGUACCGUAAGAAUAAGCACCGGCUAACUACGUGCCAGCAGCCGCGGU